rnacentral:rRNA from 1 species
AUCUCCCUGUGCAAAAGCAGGGAUAACCACAUAAGACGAGAAGACCCUGUGGANCUUCAAAAACAGCAACCACCCCAAUAUACAUCCACCCCCAACCCGGGCUCACUUAUUCAUAAAGCACUGGUUUGCAUUUUUUCGGUUGGGGCGACCUUGGAGCAAAACAGAACCUCCAAAAACUAGACCAUAACUCUAGACUGAGAGCGACCCCUCAACGUGCUAACAGCACCCAGACCCAAUACAAUUGAUCAAUGGACCAAGCUACCCCAGGGAUAACAGCGCAAUCUCCUCCGAGAGUCCAUAUCGAAGGGGAGGUUUACGACCUCGAUGUUGGAUCAGGACAUCCUAGUGGUGCAGCAGCUACUAAGGGUUCGUUUGUUCAACGAUUAACAGUCCUACGUGAUCUGAGUUCAGACCGGAGCAAUCCAGGUCGGUUUCUAUCUAUGAUGAACUCUUCCUCGUACGAAAGGAUCGGAAAAGUGAGGCCAAUACCACAAGCAAGCCUUCGCCUUAAGUAAUGAAGUCAACUCAAUUACAAAAGGCUAUCACUCCACACCACGUCCAAGAAAAGG